rnacentral:misc_RNA from 1 species
GAUGAAGAACGCAGCGAAAUGCGAUAAGUAGUGUGAAUUGCAGAAUUCAGUGAAUCAUCGAAUCUUUGAAUGCACAUUGCGCCCCUUGGUAUCCCGAGGGGCAUGCCUGUUCGAGCGUCAUUUCACCACUCAAGCCUGGCUUGGUGUUGGGCGACGUCCCCUUUGGGGACGCGCCUCGAAACGCUCGGCGGCGUGGCACCGGCUUUAAGCGUAGCAGAAUCUUUCGCUUUGGAAGUCGGGGCCCCGUCUGCCGGAAGACCUACUCGCAAGGUUGACCUCGGAUCAGGCAGGGAUACCCGCUGAACUUAAGCAUAUCAAUAAGCGGAGGA